UCAGCGCGCAGCACGGAUCAGGAGCCAAAGCACCCAGUAGCUCUUGGCAGCACUGUGCAGGCAAUGAGGCGAGCCCCCCUGUGCUGCAUGCUUACUGCACACAGCUCCAUUCACACUUGCUCACCAGCCUGCGCUGCAAGAAAAUAAAAUCAAUUGAAAUCCCUCCAUUUCAGCCAGCUGAGGAGGAAUAGUAGCAGAGCAGUGUGCGGCUGAUAACACCCCUCCUUCAGAAAGUCAGGUUUUUUACCUCCCAACCCAAUUUCAAUUGUAAGGCAGCCUCUUAGGCUGUCUUAAAUGACUGGCACUGCUCCACUCAGGGGAAUUUGGGCAGGGACUCAUAAAACAGCAGUGCUUUAGAGCUGAGUAAUCUAUCGAAGAAGCAGGAGGAAGAUAACCACAGUGUUAAUUCUGGUCGUAUGCAAUCGAAGCUGACAAAGCAUCCAUCACCCUGUACAAUAUUAGCCUUUACAUAUUCAGCUUUAUCAGUUUCCCCAUUCCUAAUCCAUCAUUAACCACCCCAUGAAGCCUCAGCUAAUUAGCCCCACCUCUGCAACUCGGCAACCUAUUAACUAUUUAUUAUUUCUAUUUAGUUGCACUCCAGUAGCGGUGAAAAACUCCAACCAGACACGUUUUAGCACUGCAACAAAGGAGAUGGUCCCCUGCUUAUGGAGUUCAUGGUCGGGAUGAGGGUGAAAGCAGCAGAGUAAAUGACAGCCGUGCUGAACAAAGGCUUACUCACACGCACUCUAUUAAACACUCCUCCCCACAUAUCUAUAGAUUUUAUAUGGAUUUUUUUCAUUACUUCUUUCCAUCACAGCAUCCUUUGAAAUCACAGAAUGUGCUGCAAUUUGGGAGGGUCCAGCAGAAAAAUAAGCAGGAUUUCGUCUUUUAGGUGGAAAAUAGAUUGAAAAACUAUCUAAACCUUUUCACAAUUAGUGAGUAGGAGAUAACAUGCAGUGAUUAAAGUCACAGUGUAUCAGGUUACUGGCUAACAUACAGAAUGUGUACAUUUUCUAUGGAUUUAAUAAAUAAAUCCAAGCAUUUCUCUGUUAAAAUACUUAUAUUACAGGGACAAAAUACGUGUAAUUUAUGAAGUGUUGUGUGUAUGUGGCAGCUUGCUAUUCACAUGCAUAAUCAAAGCAUAGAUAGAAU
ensembl:lncRNA